rnacentral:rRNA from 1 species
CUGCUGCCUUCCGUAGGAGUCUGGUCCGUGUCUCAGUACCAGUGUGGGGGACCUUCCUCUCAGAACCCCUACGCAUCGUCGUCUUGGUGGUCCGUUACACCGCCAACUAACUAAUGCGACGCAUGCCUAUCCGCCACCGGAAUUAACCUUUGGCACCAACAGGAUGUCCCGUCGAUGCAUUAUGCCGUAUUAGACGGAAUUUCUCCCGAUUAUCCGGCUGUGGCAGGCAGGUUGCAUACGUGUUACUCA